CGAAAUGCGAUAAGUAAUGUGAAUUGCAGAAUUCAGUGAAUCAUCGAAUCUUUGAACGCACCUUGCGCUCCUUGGUAUUCCUUGGAGCAUGCCUGUUUGAGUAUCAUGAAAUCUUCAAAGUAAAUCUUUUGUUAACUUAAUUGGUUUCUACUUUGGUAUUGGAGGUCUUUGCAGCUUCACACCUGCUCCUCUUUGUUCAUUAGCUGGAUCUCAGUGUUAUGCUUGGUUCCACUCGGCGUGAUAAGUUAUCUAUCGCUGAGGACACUGUAAAAGGUGGCCAAGGUAAAUGCAGAUGAACCGCUUCUAAUAGUCCAUUGACUUGGACAAUACUUUUAUGAUCUGAUCUCAAAUCAGGUAGGACUACCCGCUGAACUUAAGC
rnacentral:misc_RNA from 1 species